rnacentral:ncRNA from 1 species
GACCUCGCGCGCUUGGGAGAGCCUGCGAGGUGACGACAGGUCCGAAGUUUAAGGUUUGGGAGAACCUGACGCAUCGGAUCGCCUCACAGGGGAGAACCGCCGAUGCAGAAUACGCUUCUGGUCGGACUAUCGAAGCAGGUGGUGCUGG